UCUUGGUCUUCAGGUAAAAGAUGUCGGGCGAAUUUGUUGUAGUAGAGUUUGUGGACGAGAUUGCUGUUGAAGUCGUCCACAAGUCAUGGAUACAGUCAACAAGAGAUCGUCUGUGUUGCUAUUGGCAGCAACGGGUGGAGCCUCUUCAAAAGCCAGGAGAGGGAGCUGGCCUGACAAAGAGCAAUGGAAGCUUAUUGAAGUUAGGGGAUAUUCAUUUGGAGGUUAGGAAGCAUUUAAUAUUACAGUUUGAAACGUUAGAUUAAGUACAUAAUUCAGCUAUUUUUGUGUACUAAGCGGGAACUGAAUAAAUUGAAGUGAAAAAGGGAAACAGAAUGAUGUUAAUUUUAUUACCUUGUCAGUAUAUCAGGGUCUCUUAAUAUACAUAUUGUUUCCACUUCAGGACCCUAUGAGGAAGCCCCCCCCCUCAAGAAAGGGCGAGAAAGGCUGAGGAUACCUCCAAUGUAGAGACUGACACAGAAGAAUGUCGACGGAAAAACUAAGAAGCCUGCAAAGUUUCAGGUUUCAGAAACUGAAGAUGCUGAUGACGAAGAAGGGGAGAUACUGGAGGCAAGUGACAGUGUCCUGCUCUAGUUCUGGCCGAGCUACCAACACCUCCUCAACGGACAAAUGGAAAUGAGGUUGGCACAAGGAUCAAGUAGAGCUAUAUCCUCAACUGUUAAUUUCAAUUAUUUUUAGUUUCAACAUGAAGCUUGAGUCACAAAAGGAAAAAAACAGCAUUUGCUUGUAUGCCUAAUUUUAUUCCCAGGAGGUCCAACCUUUUCUUAAACACAGUAUCUACUGGCUAACUAUUGGGCUAUUUUGUACAUAUAGAACCAAUGGAUUACUUUUUGUACAGGGGACAUUUAUGCAGUACCAGGUAGAUCAGUACCGGUAAAUUGAUAUUUUUGGGAGUAUUCUUCUUGCAGUGAAAAUAAAGUAUUGCUUUCAUGUCCUAAUGAAAAAAUGCAUUAA